UACGGAGGAUGCAAUUAGCUCUAAUUAUAUCCGUCUUACGCUGAAAUGGCAUCCAGACAAGCAAAAAGACGAUGAGAAUAGCGCCACUUCAAGAUUUCAAGAGAUAAACGAGGCUUAACAGGUUCUCAUUGAUCCAGUCAAAAGGAAUGAGUAUGACAAGAUGAAGGUAUUGUAUGCAUAUGACUAUGGCAUAAUUGAGUACCUUAACCAUUACAAAGGCCUUAUAUUAACAUGUAAUGGUCUUGGGGUUAGGCAAUCGAUUUGGUAAUUCCCUUCUGUUUAUUGUCACAAUGCUCAAACUGAGAGGGACAGAUUUGUUGAUAUUACAAACAACGCAGUUGAGAUGAGAACAAGCUUGAUAUGUUAGAUAUCAGUUGUGUAUAUGAAGUAGA